GCGAGCUCUGUGCAGCUGACUUUUCAAAUGGGGAUGGGCCCCUCGUUUUCUCUCACUUUGACAGCCAGCAUUACGACGGAGCACAACCCUAUCCAAUGUGAAAGUCACGUGCCUCACUCAUCAACAUCUCUCAUCAGAAAGUAUUUCCACCACUUUGAUGAUGAUCAUCAUCAUCAUGAUCUGCAUGGCGACAGCUACUACUACGGACACACAGUACCUUAGCUGUAUCAUCAUCCUUUCACGGACUACUGAAGGGACGACUAAAGGACCCCGUCAUUGGAUCUGCAGAGACUUUGCUCCACUUUCCAGUUCAAGCACAACACUAUUUUGUAGAGAAGUACACACUUUGCAAGUAACGACCAAGAAGAGGAUCGCCAAGAAUGAAAGAGCAGGAGGAAAGGAAAUGGAACAAGAUCAGGAAGAUGAGGAAAAGGAGGCGAAAAAGGCGGAUGAAGAGGAACGGGCGAAGAAGGAAGGGACGGAAGAAGAAGAAGAAGAAGGGGCGUUGGAGAGGACGGGAAGAUAUGGAAGAGGAGCAGGAGAUGACGGCGCCGCAAAGGAAUUAAUCUGAUGUUCUCUCAUUUGGACCACGAAUUCCACUCGUCGCAAUAUCAUGCAUACAACUCCACCAUAUGUACUACCAAACAGGAGGGUACAAUAUGUGUUGAAGCAGGAACGUUGAGCAAGUCCGCCCCUCAGAGACGAAGUUACAGAAUUGUGACACACUCUUCUCUUCAUUUUAGCUCGUCUUGAAUGGAUUGUUCAUUAUGCGAAAAGCGAACUCGACGAAAGAAAAAGGAGGAGGAGGAGGAGGAGGAGGAGGAGAGAGAGGUUUUAUGCUGAACAACCAACCGGGAACAUCAUCACAACCAACGCCGCCACCGCCAUCGUCAUCAUCAUGAAAGAGGAGUUGGCCCUUAUAAUUAAACGGAAUGGAAAUCGUUGAAGAAGGCGAGAAAAUUAGCAGUUUAGCUCAACACCCAAAAUGCAUACUAAUGAGAUGAGCACCCAUCAGCAACAAGUCAUAUUGUCCUUGAAGUUGUUGGAGGGAAAAGACUCAUCCCCUUCUUUGAUAUGAGACGCUAGAGUUUGGUCAGUGACACAUCCACACACGAUGAAACAACCACCCCAGGAAAAAAAUCGAUGCACUUUCAAAAUCGAUCGUUGAAAUAAUGGAGCAAAGGGAAGAUGUCCCUUUUACUUUAUUGUAGUCGACAGCAGGGCGCACUCUACGUACGUAUGAUGAGGGAAGGGGAGUGGAAAUUGUCUUUUUUUUCUUCCUCUUCUUCUUCCAGUUCCAUUGCUUAUACUUCUGGUUCCAUCUCGCGAGUUGGUCCAUCUUGAACCAACGUUAGGAGCUACACCAGACACCACGACGCUUAUCUCAAAUUCUCGUUAAAAUUUCCCCAUCCAAGUUUGCCUACACCACCCAAGAGACAACGACUCAUU